rnacentral:rRNA from 1 species
GCAUAUCAAUAAGCGGAGGAAAAGAAACCAACAGGGAUUGCCCCAGUAACGGCGAGUGAAGCGGCAACAGCUCAAAUUUGAAAUCUGGCCCAGGCCCGAGUUGUAAUUUGCAGAGGAUGCUUUUGGCGCGGUGCCUUCCGAGUUCCCUGGAACGGGACGCCAUAGAGGGUGAGAGCCCCGUACGGUUGGACACCAAGCCUUUGUAAAGCUCCUUCGACGAGUCGAGUAGUUUGGGAAUGCUGCUCUAAAUGGGAGGUACAUUUCUUCUAAAGCUAAAUAUUGGCCAGAGACCGAUAGCGCACAAGUAGAGUGAUCGAAAGAUGAAAAGCACUUUGAAAAGAGGGUUAAACAGCACGUGAAAUUGUUAAAAGGGAAGCGCUUGUGACCAGACUUGCGUCCGGUGAAUCACCCAGCUCUCGCGGCUGGGGCACUUCGCCGGCACAGGCCAGCAUCAGCUUGCCGUCGGGGACAAAAGCUUCAGGAACGUGGCUCCUCUCGGGGAGUGUUAUAGCCUGUUGCAUAAUACCCUUCGGCGGGCUGAGGUACGCGCUCCGCAAGGAUGCUGGCGUAAUGGUCAUCAGCGACCCGUCUUGAAACACGGACCAAGGAGUCAACCUUAUGUGCGAGUGUUUGGGUGUCAAACCCCUACGCGUAAUGAAAGUGAACGCAGGUGAGAGCUUCGGCGCAUCAUCGACCGAUCCUGAUGUUCUCGGAUGGAUUUGAGUAAGAGCAUAUAGGGUUGGACCCGAAAGAAGGUGAACUAUGCGUGUGUAGGGUGAAGCCAGAGGAAACUCUGGUGGAGGCUCGCAGCGGUUCUGACGUGCAAAUCGAUCGUCAAACAUGCGCAUGGGGGCGAAAGACUAAUCGAACCUUCUAGUAGCUGGUUUCCGCCGAA